UUUGUUCGAAAGUGAUUUUUAAAGCUAUUUUUACAAUUUUUAUUUUAAUUUUUUAAUAUUUUUUUCUAUUUUUUGAAGUUGUGAAUUGUAUUAUGUUAAAGUUGUGAUUUGUAUUUUAUUUCAUUCUUCAAUUUGAGUUUUUGUAUGUGAGUGUAUUUUAUUACAUUGAUUUCAAAAAUCUUAUGGGUAUAGAUGAUAUUCUCACAAUUGAGUACUAUGAGUAAAAACAAAGAAAAUUUACAUCCCAAUAACAAUAGAUUUUAAUAGAAUCUUAAAAUCAAUGAAAACUAAACUUUUCCAAUAACAAAAGAUUUUUAGUGGAAUUUAAAAAUUAUCUCCCCAAUAACAAUGAAUUUUAUUUAGAUUUUAAAAAUUCAUAAACCAAUAACAAUGAAAUCUAAAAAUUUAAUAAUUUCUUUAGAAUUUUUUGUCCAAUAACCCCUCCUAAAUAUACAAUAACCAUGUUAAGCAACUCAUAAAUUUGCAAGCAGAUAUAUUAAAUGUAAUUAAUGUAUGUAGAAAUUAUCUAAAUAUUAUGUUCAGUUUAUAAAUAUAAAUGUUGCCUUAUAAAUAUAGUGUAAUGUUUCAUUAUAGCAUUUACGUGAUUUCUCUAGUAGCGUAGUUCCAUUCAAAUAAGGACUACGAGGAGAGCUCUGUUGUUGACACCUCGGAACUAAAAUUUAAGUUACAACUUAAUAAUGUUUAUCUUUUAAUAUAUAGAUGAUAAUAUUUUAUUUCAAGAAUUAAUGUAUACAUAUUUUUUCUAAAAAGUAAAAUUAAAAAUGUAAACUAAAACCAAUUCAGUCAACCAUAAAAUAACUACUCCAUAAAACAUCAUUGAUGACACAUUUUUUAGUAAAAUUAAAACUAAUAUAAAAAUAUCAAAAUAUAAAGUAUUUUGGAAACAUCUUAAACUUUCCAAAACACAAUCUAUUCCGGAGCGAAAAAGGGUGUAUUUGUUUUCCCACUUGAUGAUUAGUUGAUUACUCGUUUUUCAAAGUUCAAGCAGAAUUAUCAUUCAUGUUUUCUAGUAUUUGUUUAUUUUGGUAUGGUUUUGGUUAAAUCCAACAUGUUAAAUCUAUAAUUUGUAAACGGAAGCGUGAAGGAAAUACAUUAAAUACUAGUAUGACUUAGGAGUAGGGAGAUCAAAACACUAAUUAAUUAAUUAAACAAAAAAGAAAGGAAAAUAAAAGAGAGAAUUGAGUUGGAUUUGGAUUGGAUCUGUCUUUUUAUGUAAAAAAAAAAAAGAAAAAGGAAAAGGGGAAUAAAACGCCGACAAGAGUAACCAACCAACCAAUAGGUAACCAGAAAAAAAUCCAUUGCAAAGUUUUCUUACAGCCCUAAGAAGCCCCCUCCCAUCGUCCCGCGACCACCGCCCCAAUCAAUCAAAUCUCUGUCUGGAUCAGAGCCCUCCCUUCCUUCUUGUUCCCUCUCUUUCGUUGUGCUCUACGUGAUUGAUCUCUAGCUCGCUUCCUUCAUAGUUUCCGUAUUGGAAUCAGAGUCUGUUAUUGGGUUUGUCGGAUCGAAUUUUGGGAUUUAAAAUUAGGGUUUAUAGAGGAAGAAUCAACCGCCUAUGGCUCCGGGGCGUAAAAGAGGAGCGAGCAAGGCUAACGCCAAGGGGCAGUUGAUCCUCGGUGAUCUCGUUCUUGCCAAAGUCAAAGGCUUCCCUGCUUGGCCUGCUAAGAUUAGCCGGCCUGAAGAGUGGGAUCGUGCGCCUGACCCAAAGAAGUACUUUGUUAAGUUCUUUGGAACUCAGGAAAUAGCUUUUGUUGCACCGCCUGAUAUCCAAGCCUUCACUAAUGAGGCAAAGAGCAAGCUAUUAGCAAGAUGUCAAGGUAAAACACUCAAGUAUUUUUCGCAAGCUGUAACCGAAAUAUGCACCGCUUUUGAAGAGUUGCAGAACCGCAAGUCAUUGGAUCCUCUCGAUUCAGCGGAGGCUGAGACAUUGAGUGGAACAACAGAUCAUAUAGUCCCUAAAUUAGAUAAGAAUGAUGGUGACGAGACAAACGCUGAGACUGUGAAGAAGGAUUCAUCCCCGGGUAGUUCAUAUGACCCUAAAAUAAAGGAAGAAGAUUUUGAUAAAGGAGCUGGCGGUGAUGGUUUCACUAAUGGUCAAAAGAAUGUGGCGAGAACAAAGAAGGUAGCUGGUGGCUCGGACAAAGAUGGUGAUACAAUUCAUAGAGACAAAAGCAGUAACUCAAAAGCAGUAAUUAAGAGUGGGGUUUCAGGCAAGAAAAGAAGGCUUGAAAGUGAACUAGGGAAGCCUGCACCAAAAAGACUAGAUGAAAGCUCGCCUGCUGCUAAAAAACCACGAACUGAAGGUAAAAAUGGCAGCGUAAAGUGUGAAAUUGAUGAUGAAUCUGAUCCUACUGGGACUGGAUCAGAUAUUAAGCACGACCUUGUCGUUUUAGGAGGAAAUUUAAUGGUGGAGCAUGAUACCUCUCCUCCUUUUUCUGGGUCUCGUGGUAGAUCCGGGAAAGUUCAUCUGGAACAGAAAGACCGUUCCUCUCCUGUUGGUAACGUUAAGGUUCCAGUUGCACAGUCUCUGAAAAAACGGAGGGCUGUUUGCAUCUAUGACGAAGAUGAUGAUGAAGAUCCGAAAACCCCAUUACAUGGAAGUCGAGCUGCUGUUCCCAAAACAUCAGAAUUGACUGAUGGUCCCAAAAGUGGCAAUGCAUCUACUAAAGCUAAGGUAUCUGCUGGACCUACAGAGAGUACUCGAGUAAGGAAAGCACCUCUGCGUAAACAUUGCGAGGAUGCUUCACGUGUAUUAUCGGAAAACGUGGAGAAAUCUGCUAAUAGCUUACCCAUAGUGAAACCCAUCAAUGAGUUGCCGCCAAAGGAAGUCAAGCAGAUCGUUAAAUCUCCUAUGCUGUCUCCUCAGCUGGGUUCAUCUAACAAGCACGUUACAGCACAGCAAAAAGCUGCAAAGUCAUCUGUAAAAGUUUCUGGUGUUGUGAUGGCAAAGAAGCCUCAGAGUGAUUCUUUUAAGGAGGCAGUUAUGAAAUCUGAUAAAGUAAGCUCUUCUCUGUCUCAAUCUGAUCAGAGACACAAACCAGCUUCACUUAAAGAUAGGCCAAGAGACACUUCUGAGGACUUGUCUGCUGUGAUGCUUGAUGGCAACCGAGAAAAUUGGAGUGCUCCAUUUAUCAGUGCGAAGACCCCAGAUGCAGCUUCAUCUAUGAAGGAUCUAAUUGCAGCAGCACAGGCCAAAAGAAAACUAGCACAUUCACAAAAUUCAGUUUUUGGGAAUUUGAACCCUAGUUUCAUGAGCAUCAGCGAUGCGCAGAUGAGGAGCCAGAGCCCGUUUAUGGUUCAGAGUGCUUCAGCUUCUGCUGCCAUCGCAAUGCCUUUAGUUGUUGAAGGACAUGAACAGGAUUCUUCUCCGUCAAAUCAUGGGCAUCAGUCCUCAUCAAGAAAUCAAAAUGAGGUUGAUGAUAAUGAAGAGAGAAGACUUAGUUCAGGGCAUAAGUCAGCUGGAGGUUCACUUAGUGGUGGUACUGAGGCGGCUGUUUCCCGAGAUGCUUUUGAAGGGAUGAUAGAGACCUUAUCAAGAACUAAGGAAAGUAUUGGACGUGCAACACGCCUAGCAAUUGAUUGUGCUAAGUAUGGGAUUGCUAGUGAGGUGGUGGAACUUCUCAUACGAAAGUUGGAAAGUGAACAUCAAUUGCAUCGUAAAGUGGACUUGUUCUUUCUCGUUGACUCUAUCACCCAGUGUUCGCACAACCAAAAAGGUAUUGCUGGUGCUUCAUACGUUCCUACUGUGCAAGCUGCUUUGCCACGUCUUUUAGGUGCUGCUGCUCCUUCAGGGAUCGAUGCUCGUGACAAUCGUCGUAAAUGUCUGAAGGUUCUGAGGUUGUGGCUUGAUAGGAAAAUUUUCCCUGAAUCUCUUCUGCGUCGUUAUAUUGAUGAUAUUGGAGCUUCUGGCGAUGAUGGAACCGUUGGGAUUUCCCUGCGACGUCCUUCUAGAUCUGAGCGUUCUGUAGAUGAUCCUAUCAGAGAAAUGGAAGGGAUGCAUGUUGAUGAGUAUGGCAGCAAUGCAACUAUUCAGCUGCCUGGGUUUUUCUCUUCUCAUACCUUUGAGGAUGAAGAAGAAGAAGAUGACGAUCGUCCAAUAUCACAAAAAGCAAAAAGCACAUCUUCUGGGGAACCUUUUGACUUGGAAAUACGUGAUACUUCAAGUGAUAGAGACCAUCGAGUUUUGGAGGAUGUAGAUCGUGAUCUUGAAAUGGCAGAUGUAUCUGGUGAGGGGAAAGAUGUAGCACCUUCCGCUAUCUGUGAGAAUGAGUCACUGAAUGUUAGUGAACCAGUUGCGGAAAAGUCAACUGGGGUGCCUCCUCUUUCAGAGGAUUCUCCUCCGCUACCUCACGAAUCACCCCCAUCUCCCCCUCCUCUACCUCCUUCUCCACCACCUCCGUCUCCACCUCCUCCGCCUUCAUCUCCGCCUCCGUUGCUGCCACCACCACCUCCCACAGCGCAGAUCCCACCUCUUCCUUCACCCUUGUCUCAGCCUCCACCACCACCGCCCCUUACACCUCCACCUUCACCUCCACCCCCACCUCCACCGCCUGCACAAUCUAUAGCUUUACCAACUCAACCAUCCAUAGCCAGCCAUCAUCAAUUACCACCUCAGUUAGGAUUUCCUCCGCCAGCAUAUCCAUUAUCGCAUCAAACAUACCCAGGAUCUAUGCAGCUAGACCGCUGUAGCAUUUUCACUGGCGAUCAAAUUGUUCAAGGGCCUGGAAGUUCUUCUUCACGUGGAAGUCACGUGCAGCAGUCAUAUAAUUUUAAUCCUGAAGCUUCUUCACAGAACCAACGGUUUCAGCCGAACACCACUCUCUCCCAAAGACCUAUGGUUAGGAAUCCGCCUUUAGUACCGUCCGGUCAUUUUCCGUAUCCAAGCCAUGUUCAAUCUCAAUCCCCGCAUACCUACACUCAUCCUUACUCUUUCCCACCUCAACGUGAUGAUGGACGGCGAUAUAGAGAUGAGGAACCAUGGCGGAUGUCUUCAAGUGGGCGUAGUGCAGAAAACCAGAGUGGUGCCUGGAUACGUGGAAGACAUUCACAUCCAGGCCUUCCUAGAGUCACAGACAGUAUAUUUCUUUCGGCCACCUUCAGUGACAGUGAGCUAUCAACCUUCUUCUGCUAGUAACUUACAAGCUAUCCCGGCAAUUCCAGGUCAUACUGCUCCCCAGAUGCUACCGUCUCGGCCAGACCUGCCUGCCGGGAAUUGCUGGCGGCCAGCUUGAAGUGAGGCUAGAAUUUCGUUGGCCUGCUCCUGUUAGUAUCAAGGAUAAAGAAGCUGCUAAUGUCUCAUUAACAAGGCUAAUCCUCUAGCCAUGUCUCGGUGCCUCGUAUUUUUAGCAGGAACGAGAAGCAUGUGUGUCUAAGCAGUUUUGAGUUUAAUCAGUCCAUGUUACAACAAUCUCCAUAUUGCUAUUUGUGCACUGCUGAUCUGAAGAAGUAUGUAGAAGACUUGUGAGUUGCGAGAAAAUAUAGUGUUGUCGUGCGACAGGCUUUUGAUGCAUAACUGAACCGCCUAGAUCGAUGGCAAGGCGGUCCUGAUGAGAUUAUGCAAAAAGCUUGGUGUGUUGGAGUUCUGAGUUUGGUUCGGGAGCUGAGAAGAUUGUAGUUUCUCAAGUUGGGAGGUUAGUUUUGUCGUCACUGAUAAUCAUUAAUCAGGACCACCUUGUUGAGACUCUUGAGCAUAGAGUAAGUAAGAUAAUCCCAAAUCAUUCUCUAGAAACUAGAUGUUUGUAUAUUAUACGCUUUACCAAAAGUGAAAAAAACUGUUCUUGUAACCAAAAGAUCAAGUCUUGUUCUAUUACAGAUUGUUUUUACUCAA